rnacentral:lncRNA from 1 species
AGAACUCGGGUAUUAAUGACCCGGAGCCACAUGACGGAGCAUGACACAGCACUUUUGGGCACAAGGCAGGGCCCAGAGGGGUGCGUGGGGGCCGCAGCCCAGCCCCCAAGCCCCGCCAGCGGGAAGCACCAGUUAGCCCAGAUGCUUCUCAUCUUUGGAGUUGAGCUGCAGGCUGGAGACCUGGAAGGCCCUCGCAGCGCCUGCUCCCAUCCUCUCACCUCACGAAAGCGCAGGAAUGUGGGUUUGGAGCCAAUGAAAAGUACUGGAAUCUGGCUCUGCUCUGUGACCCUGGACAAGUCACUGCCCCUCUCUGGGCUUCAGUUUCCUCCUUGCUCCAUGAGGGCAGGGGAUUUUGUCUGUUUCAUUCACAAUGUGUUCCCAGAGCUCAGCACAGUGUCAGGCACACACUAGGUAACAGCACCUCGACUUCCUACUGAAGAACCCCCUCUUCCCUUUUCUCAGUCCAUGAGGCUGGGGGUGCCCAGAGGCCUCUGUCUCCAGGGGUGGACAUGUGACCGGGUCUUGCUCUAGUGAUUGGUCCAGGGAUGGGCACAUGACUGAGCCUGCCCAAUGAAACUUGAUCUUGGGACUUCAGGGUUGGCCAUGAUUUGUGAAGGAGAUGCCAUUUUCCAUUGGAUGGACAGUGAGCAAGUGAACGCUUAGAGAAGAAGAGGACAAAACAAGGGAAAAGCCUGCCUGACAGGAAGCAGCACAGAGCUGGACAGGCUUUGAACUCCUGGAUCCCACUGUACCUGAAAUUAGGCACCUUCAACUUUCUAGUUAUGUGAGCCACUGUCUUUCCCAUUUUUGGCUGAAAACAGUUGGGACUGGCUUUCUGUCCCUUGCAUACAGAAGGUGCUGACUGACCCCUGCCCCAUGGAAGAAGAUACUCCAGGCAGAGGAAAUAGUGUGUAUAGACACCCCUAAGCGAAUGCCAAGCGGGGCACUCAUGUACCAAGAAGAAGGAGGAGGAGGCACCUGGGAGCUGAGCUUAAGAGUUAGUCGGGUGGUCAAGGUGGGAGAAGGGGGUAUCUUUAGCAGAGGGAACAACCAUUGCAAAAGCUUGGAGGGGUGACUAGUUAGUGAAGAUCAACUGUGUGCUGAGCUCGUGUUGGGUGGCAAGGGACACAGACGAAAAGGGCACGGUGGAACCCAGCUACUUCUCACCUGCUCCAGCGCAGUGCAGGCUUGUCUGCUUUUGGAGCCGAGCCUGGACACCUCCGUGUCCUUCCCCCGGCAGAGUGCUGCCAGCACGCUGUCUCAGACUCUCCAGCAUCUCCUGGUUGAUGUGCAUCAUGGGGACCACACAAGAUUAUUUUAUAGGCUGCACAGGCAAAGCAUAAAAUCACCUCGGGUCACAUAGCGAGAGUUAUUCUCUCUGCAAAUUCUUUACAGUCUUUCCUUUAUAUCCAGAAGAGUCUCUGUGUGGUGCUAACUUGCCUCGAAGACCAAAUAAUUGCUAGUCUCCCUUUGUGAAAAGGAGAGCAGGUGUCAGGCUCAUUCAUGUCUCAGGCACACAAUUGUAUCUAGCUAGACUUUUCAAAAUGUCCUAUAGAGCUGCAGCACAUAUGAAUGAGGUGUCCAGCUGGUCCCAAACCUGUAAUCGGCACCCCAGUGAGCAGACUGGACAUCCCCACCCCCACAGCUGCCCUUUCUCCCCUCCACUCAUGUUCCCUCUAGGGCCACCACGAUCCCGACUUGUAUCACCACAGAUGAGUUUCACAUGUUUUUGAAUUUUACAUCUUAUCUGUUUUCUGUUCCUAUACAAGUUUGCCUUUUUUGAAUUCCAUAUAAGUGGGAUUCUACAAUGUGUUAUCUCAAUUUGAGUCUGUUUUUUUUUUCCUGCUCAGCAUGAUGUUUUUGAGAUGCAUAUAUGCGGUUUUGUGUAUCUGUAGAUGGUUCUUUUUUAUUGCAGAAUAAUGUUCCAGGGUAUGGAUGUACCAAAGCUUGUUCAUCCAUUCACCAGCUGAGGGAUAUUUGGACUGUUUCCAGUUUUCAGCCAUUAUAAAUAAAGCCACUAGAAACAUUUGCAAAC